rnacentral:rRNA from 1 species
UGAGGAAUAUUGGUCAAUGGACGGGAGUCUGAACCAGCCAAGUAGCGUGCAGGAUGACGGCCCUAUGGGUUGUAAACUGCUUUUGUGCGGGGAUAAAGUGUGGGACGUGUCCCAUAUUGCAGGUACCGCAUGAAUAAGGACCGGCUAAUUCCGUGCCAGCAGCCGCGGUAAUACGGAAGGUCCGGGCGUUAUCCGGAUUUAUUGGGUUUAAAGGGAGCGUAGGCCGGAGAUUAAGCGUGUUGUGAAAUGCCGCGGCUCAACCGUGGCACUGCAGCGCGAACUGGUUUUCUUGAGUGCGCGCGACGCAGGCGGAAUUCGUGGUGUAGCGGUGAAAUGCUCAGAUAUCAUGAAGAACUCCGAUCGCGAAGGCAGGCAUCCGGGGUGUUACUGACGCUGAGGCUCGAAAGUGCGGGUA